GACGGAGGGUGCUAGCGUUGUUCGGAAUCACUGGGCGUAAAGAGCUCGUAGGCGGCUUGUCGCGUCGUCCGUGAAAACCCACAGCUCAACUGUGGGCUUGCGGUCGAUACGGGCAGGCUAGAGUUCGGUAGGGGAGACUGGAAUUCCUGGUGUAGCGGUGAAAUGCGCAGAUAUCAGGAGGAACACCGAUGGCGAAGGCAGCUCGCUGGGACGGUACUGACGCUGAGGCGCGAAAGCGUGGGGAGCGAACAGG
rnacentral:rRNA from 1 species